GAUGAACGCUGGCGGCGUGCCUAAUACAUGCAAGUCGAGCGAACAGACGAGGAGCUUGCUCCUCUGACGUUGGCGGCGGACGGGAGAGUAACACGUGGAUAACAUAACUAUAAGACUGGGAUAACAUCGGGAAACAGGAGCUAAUACCGGAAAAUAUAUUGAACCGGAUGGUGCAAUAGUGAAAGAAGGUAUUGCUGUCAGUAAUAGAUGGAUCAGGGCCUCAUUAGCUAGUGGGUAGGGAGACGGAUUACCAAGGCAACUAUGCUUAGCCGCCCUCAGAGGGUCAACCGCCACACUGUCUCUGAGACUCGUCCCCCACUCCUACGGGAGGCAGCAGCCGGGACUCCUCCGCGAUGGGCCAAAGCCUGACGUAGCAACGCCGCGUGAGUCAUGAAGGUCUUCUGAUCGUAAAGCUCUGUUAUUAGGGAAGUACAAAUGUGUUAUUAACUAUGCACGUCUUGACGGUACCUAAUCAGAAAGCCACGGCUAACUACGUG
rnacentral:rRNA from 1 species